AGAAUUUGAAGUAAAACUCUUUAAUAUACUUAUUAGAAUUGUUUAUUCUAACAGUGACUAUAACAUAUCUCUGCAUUUGUCAUUUUAAUUCCCUUGAUAAAAGUUUUAAGACAUUUCUCCACCAAAGCUACAUGUUUCCUCUAUUUGAAAUGCAUUAAGUACCUUACAAUCUUUGUUCUAUUGUGAAUAAUAUCUAUUCCAAUUUGUUUUUACAGAUCUAUAUGGAAAUACUACUGACUUUUGCAUCACACAGUCUUACAGACCUCUCCUGGGUUUCUUAUAAAAUAAUUAACUUUGUCUAAACAAGAGAUGACCUGAGCCUGCACAUUUAUCUUCUCCAGCCUCCAAGACUGGGACCCUCGAAUACAAGAACAACUUAGGACAGCUUGGCUCAUAUUUAAGGAAGUCAGGACACGGUGAAUAUGAAUCCGUACAUGCAAUUUAUCAUGCCUGAUGCGGAGCAAGGAAACAAGAAUAAAACA
rnacentral:lncRNA from 1 species